rnacentral:rRNA from 1 species
AGCGGCGGACGGGUGAGUAACGCGUGAGUAACCUGCCCCGUAGAGUGGGAUAACACAGUGAAAACUGUGCUAAUACCGCAUAACAUAUAAUAAUCGCAUGGUUAAUAUAUCAAAGAUUUAUCGCUACGGGAUGGACUCGCGUCUGAUUAGCUAGUUGGUGAGGUAACGGCUCACCAAGGCGACGAUCAGUAGCCGAACUGAGAGGUUGAUCGGCCACAUUGGGACUGAGACACGGCCCAGACUCCUACGGGAGGCAGCAGUGGGGAAUAUUGCGCAAUGGGGGCAACCCUGACGCAGCAACGCCGCGUGAAGGAAGAAGGUUUUCGGAUCGUAAACUUUUGUCUUAUGGGAAGAUAGUGACGGUACCAUAGGAGGAAGCCACGGCUAACUACGUGCCAGCAGCCGCGGUAAUACGUAGGUGGCAAGCGUUGUCCGGAAUUACUGGGUGUAAAGGGCGCGUAGACGGG